UUGCUGUUGUUGUUGACCAGGAUAAGGAUUACUGGGGUUAUCAUAAGGAUGAUAACCAGGCUGCACUUGCGGUUGUUGGUGAACCGUAAGAGGAGGAACCGUUCCCUGCAUCCAAUCUGGUUGGCCGACCGGAAAAACUGAAAAUACGUUAUUAUUUUCUUCGUUAUCGCUAUCCUCGUCGCUGUCUACACUGUCGCUGUCGCUGUCAUCAUCGCUAUCCCCGAACCAUUCGUCGAGGAUAGUGCAAAAAUCUUCGUCGUCCUUAGAACCGGUAUUGGAAACCGUGGUAGAUUGCGGCGUUCCAAAAAGCUCCUCCCACAGGUCGUCGAAUAUUCCAAACCAUCCGGAAGAAUUAACUACGUCAAAA
rnacentral:misc_RNA from 1 species